rnacentral:rRNA from 1 species
UACAGAGGUCCCAAGCGUUGUUCGGAUUCAUUGGGCUUAAAGGGUGCGUAGGCGGCGCGGUAAGUGGGGUGUGAAAUCUCGGCGCUUAACUCCGAAACUGCAUUCGAUACUGCCGUGCUUGAGGACUGUAGAGGCAGAUGGAAUUCCGGGCGUAGCGGUGGAAUGCGUAGAGAUCCGGAAGAACACCGGUGGCGAAGGCGGUCUGCUGGGCAGUAGCUGACACUGAGGCGCGACAGCGUGGGGAGCAAACAGG